CUGAAGUCGCUGAGGGGUUUGUUGCUGGCUCUCCGGAGCAUGUGCACGCCACUCACACUUUAUUCAACCACCUGUGCACCUCCUGUAGUCUCUCAGACGUUUCUCAAUCUUCGGAUUGGUUGGGACUGCUGCUUUUCGCAAGAAAGGCUUCAGUCCAAUGUCUUGAGGGGCUAUGUCUACACAUACACUGUAAAAUUACCAGAAUGCAUCAUAGUCUUUUUAAAGACUUUAAAAUUAAAAUA
rnacentral:misc_RNA from 1 species